rnacentral:rRNA from 1 species
CGAACGGUAACAGGAAACAGCUUGCUGUUUCGCUGACGAGUGGCGGACGGGUGAGUAAUGUCUGGGAAACUGCCUGAUGGAGGGGGAUAACUACUGGAAACGGUAGCUAAUACCGCAUAACGUCGCAAGACCAAAGAGGGGGACCUUCGGGCCUCUUGCCAUCGGAUGUGCCCAGAUGGGAUUAGCUAGUAGGUGGGGUAACGGCUCACCUAGGCGACGAUCCCUAGCUGGUCUGAGAGGAUGACCAGCCACACUGGAACUGAGACACGGUCCAGACUCCUACGGGAGGCAGCAGUGGGGAAUAUUGCACAAUGGGCGCAAGCCUGAUGCAGCCAUGCCGCGUGUAUGAAGAAGGCCUUCGGGUUGUAAAGUACUUUCAGCGGGGAGGAAGGGAGUAAAGUUAAUACCUUUACUCAUUGACGUUACCCGCAGAAGAAGCACCGGCUAACUCCGUGCCAGCAGCCGCGGUAAUACGGAGGGUGCAAGCGUUAAUCGGAAUUACUGGGCGUAAAGCGCACGCAGGCGGUUUGUUAAGUCAGAUGUGAAAUCCCCGGGCUCAACCUGGGAACUGCAUCUGAUACUGGCAAGCUUGAGUCUCGUAGAGGGGGGUAGAAUUCCAGGUGUAGCGGUGAAAUGCGUAGAGAUCUGGAGGAUACCGGUGGCGAAG